UACUGUGCCAAACCCAAUACC
rnacentral:siRNA from 1 species